rnacentral:misc_RNA from 1 species
CCUAAAGAACAAAAACUAAAACAGAAAACCUCAGAUGUAUAAAUGUGGAGCAAAUAUACAAUCCUUUACUUGUAAUAAUAUCAAACAAGGCUCUUUCAUCAGAAUAAUAAUUUACUAGCAAGAUAAAGAUCUAAAUCUAAAAUGUACAGGAAGUGAUCUUCCUAGCUUGGCUCAGAAAAAUUAAAAGUAAACAAAUAAGAAGAAAUGAACAACUGCUUAAUUAAAAUAUAGCAGAAACAGAGGCGGCAAAACAUAUAGACGCCUCCUGUUUAUUCAGAAUUUACUCUCUACCAUCUAUCAUGAAUACACGUCCCAUUUGUAGGAAGAGUUGCAUUAAAUUUCUGUACCUCUUGGAUGGCAGCUAAAGAUGGCUGCCAUUUUCCAUACCCUUCCCUAAAACUCCCAGAGAAUCGGACAGCAAUUCCUUUAGACAUGAAUUCUACAUUUCUUAACAGUAACUCCAACUGCUGCCUAGUCAGCACAAUCUUCGCUUUCUGCUUUGUACGAGUUGUUUGGUUGGCCAACUUAAAACAAUCCUUGGAACUAAAAGGCUUCUUCAUAAGGGGUGGCAUUAGGUAAUAAAGCUCCCCUAAUUCUAGUUUGGUGUUGGCUGGCAAUGCUGAGAAAGGAAGGGCAUGGGGUACAAUUUUAUAGCCACGGUAGCGACCAGAAGUGAUCUUUUUAACUAGUGUUGAGGCUUUGAAUUCUUUUUCUUCUCCAUUGCACAUGAUGACUCUACUCUUCUCUGCAAGUUGAUGUGAUGGUACUAUACAGUUCCCCAUCAUUCAAUGGUGUUUGAAUCGUAAACAAGUGAUUACUCAUCAAUUCAUAAUGUGGCUUUAAUUGAUUUCACGUUGGAAGCAAUUUGACGCGCAAGCCAUCACACUUACAAUUUAUUAGCUCUUUAUAUUGGGAAAGUGAAGUUUAUUUUAUUAACUUAUUACAUACGCUAUUGGGUCACCGGAAGUAUGCAUUUUCAGCAAGGAAACAUUUUGAUAAUAUUUAUUUAUCAUAAAAAGGUCUACAGUAUGAGUAUUUUACAUUGUAUUGUGUCCUCUGAAGAAAUAAAAAUUGAUGUUAAAA